rnacentral:rRNA from 1 species
GACGAACGCUGGCGGCGUGCUUAACACAUGCAAGUCGAACGGAAAGGCCCUGCUUUUGUGGGGUGCUCGAGUGGCGAACGGGUGAGUAACACGUGAGUAACCUGCCCUUGACUUUGGGAUAACUUCAGGAAACUGGGGCUAAUACCGGAUAGGAGCUCCUGCUGCAUGGUGGGGGUUGGAAAGUUUCGGCGGUUGGGGAUGGACUCGCGGCUUAUCAGCUUGUUGGUGGGGUAGUGGCUUACCAAGGCUUUGACGGGUAGCCGGCCUGAGAGGGUGACCGGCCACAUUGGGACUGAGAUACGGCCCAGACUCCUACGGGAGGCAGCAGUGGGGAAUAUUGCACAAUGGGCGGAAGCCUGAUGCAGCAACGCCGCGUGCGGGAUGACGGCCUUCGGGUUGUAAACCGCUUUCGCCUGUGACGAAGCGUGAGUGACGGUAAUGGGUAAAGAAGCACCGGCUAACUACGUGCCAGCAGCCGCGGUGAUACGUAGGGUGCGAGCGUUGUCCGGAUUUAUUGGGCGUAAAGGGCUCGUAGGUGGUUGAUCGCGUCGGAAGUGUAAUCUUGGGGCUUAACCCUGAGCGUGCUUUCGAUACGGGUUGACUUGAGGAAGGUAGGGGAGAAUGGAAUUCCUGGUGGAGCGGUGGAAUGCGCAGAUAUCAGGAGGAACACCAGUGGCGAAGGCGGUUCUCUGGGCCUUUCCUGACGCUGAGGAGCGAAAGCGUGGGGAGCGAACAGGCUUAGAUACCCUGGUAGUCCACGCUGUAAACGGUGGGUACUAGGUGUGGGGUCCAUUCCACGGGUUCCGUGCCGUAGCUAACGCUUUAAGUACCCCGCCUGGGGAGUACGGCCGCAAGGCUAAAACUCAAGGGAAUUGACGGGGCCCCGCACAAGCGGCGGAGCAUGCGGAUUAAUUCGAUGCAACGCGUAGAACCUUACCUGGGUUUGACAUGGAUCGGGAGUGCUCAGAGAUGGGUGUGCCUCUUUUGGGGUCGGUUCACAGGUGGUGCAUGGCUGUCGUCAGCUCGUGUCGUGAGAUGUUGGGUUAAGUCCCGCAACGAGCGCAACCCUUGUUCACUGUUGCCAGCACGUUAUGGUGGGGACUCAGUGGAGACCGCCGGGGUCAACUCGGAGGAAGGUGGGGAUGACGUCAAGUCAUCAUGCCCCUUAUGUCCAGGGCUUCACGCAUGCUACAAUGGCUGGUACAGAGAGUGGCGAGCCUGUGAGGGUGAGCGAAUCUCGGAAAGUCGGUCUCAGUUCGGAUUGGGGUCUGCAACUCGACCUCAUGAAGUCGGAGUCGCUAGUAAUCGCAGACCAGCAACGCUGCGGUGAAUACGUUCCCGGGGCU